rnacentral:rRNA from 1 species
GACGAACGCUGGCGGCGUGCUUAACACAUGCAAGUCGAACGGAAAGGCCCUGCUUUUGUGGGGUGCUCGAGUGGCGAACGGGUGAGUAACACGUGAGUAACCUGCCCUUGACUUUGGGAUAACUUCAGGAAACUGGGGCUAAUACCGGAUAGGAGCUCCUGCUGCAUGGUGGGGGUUGGAAAGUUUCGGCGGUUGGGGAUGGACUCGCGGCUUAUCAGCUUGUUGGUAGGGUAGUGGCUUACCAAGGCUUUGACGGGUAGCCGGCCUAAGAGGGUGACCGGCCACAUUGGGACUGAGAUACGGCCCAGACUCCUACGGGAGGCAGCAGUGGGGAAUAUUGCACAAUGGGCGGAAGCCUGAUGCAGCAACGCCGCGUGCGGGAUGACGGCCUUCGGGUUGUAAACCGCUUUCGCCUGUGACGAAGCGUGAGUGACGGUAAUGGGUAAAGAAGCACCGGCUAACUACGUG